rnacentral:piRNA from 1 species
UACAGAGACAACCCGAGAAUAAACGUU